GGAAUACAAACAUGAGUUCAAGUCAACUAUCUAUACACGGAUUCAUUUUUCUGUUAAAAGACUGGUUGAAGAGUUUCAUUUUACCAUGUAGAAAGAUGACCUUUGCCGUGAUUAUCCACUCGAAUUGCCUCUGUACUUUUACUGAAACUGGUAUUUUUCUGUUUUUAUAAUAUAAGGUCCGUUAAUUGGCCCUCUCUUAGAAGCUUACCACUGAGAGAGAUUUGAUGUUAUCUGUGAUGAGAAAUUGAAUAUAAUUUUGUCUGGCAGUCCUUUGCUGGAGAAGUUGGUUAUUUUGGAGUGUAAUGAUAUGAAAUCCGUGAACCUGAAUGGGAAGAACGUGAAGAGUUUGUGCUUAGGUUAUUUAAAACAGUAUGGGUGGAAUGGUAAGGAUCUGAAGAUUUGCGCUCCAAAUGUACACUCAUUGUGUCUUUGGGGAGAAAUGGACUUUGAGGGCUACAUGAUUGAAGAUAGGUCCUGCACUUUCCUGGAGAGAGUAGAGCUUGGAUUUGAGCUUAAGAUAGAAAAUCUUGUAGAUGAUGAAGCUCUUAAAAAAAUGUUGAGAAUUGCUGGUGAUCUGAGUGAAGUCAAAGUUCUUUCAGUGAAGUAUUAUUGUCUUCAGAUACAUUAAAGGUUCCGGAAGAAGCAUCAAUUCAAGAAAGGAGACUCCUUGGAAUCACAAAAAGCCACUUGACAGAGUCUGUCUCCCAAGCUGAAGACUAUCAGACUACACAGCAUUAUUGGCGAUAAGAACAGCAUGGAAUCAAAGUAUGCAGGGAGGGACAAAGACUGGCUUCCUAAGAAGUGUCGGAAGGAAAUGGAGCUGCUGAGGUUCUUGCUAAAGCAUGUUUGAAAUUCUUUUCCAAUUCCCAAGAGCCUCUCCUCAUGCCAAAUUUAAAUUCUUGUAGGAAACUCUGCGAUUUGUUAUGCUUAAUGUAUGCUUAAGUUCUUUGUUUACUAUUACCUUCAUCUUAUAUAAGUUCUUUGUUUAACGUUACCUUCAUCGGCAAAGAUGUCAGUCUUUACUUUCAUCUAUAAUGGACAAGAAACAUUUUUGGAA